UGGCGCUUAAGCGCGCGACC
rnacentral:snRNA from 1 species